GCCGCAAUAGCGUAGUGGUAGCGCGUCUCACUUGUAUCUUGCUUAUGUGAGCAGAAGGAUCAUGAGAAGGUCACUCGUUCAAUCCGGGUUUGUGGCA
rnacentral:tRNA from 1 species